AUAUAACUAGCCCGAACACAACAUAACAAAAAUUAAUCCAAAACUUAAAUCAAAACAUUUACCAACCACAAAAGUAUCAGCGACAGAAAUUAUGACACAGGCGCUAUAGAGAUAGUACCGCAAGGGAAAGAUGAAAGAAUAAUUUAAUAGUAUAGAAUAGCAAAGAUCAACCACAUUUACCAACCACAAAAGUAUCAGCGACAGAAAUUAUGACACAGGCGCUAUAGAGAUAGUACCGCAAGGGAAAGAUGAAAGAAUAAUUUAAUAGUAUAGAAUAGCAAAGAUCAACCYUUCUACCUUUCGCAUAAUGAAUCAACCAGAACACUCUUUGCAAAGAGAACUUAAGUAAAAAACCCCGAAUCCAGACGAUCUACCUGCUGACAGUCAAAAGGACCUAUUCAUCUAUGUGGCAAAAUAGUGAAACGAUCAACAGGUAGCGGUGAAAAGCCAAUCGAGCCUGGUGAUAGCUGGUUGUCCAGGAAAUGAAUAUAAGUUCAGCUUAAAACUUACCCUAAAAGAAUAACUCAAACUCAAAUGUAAGUUUUAAACAUAGUCAAUAGGGGUACAGCCCUAUUGGCACAGGAAAACCUUAAUUAGAGAGUACCCCAAACACACUUCCAUAGUAGGCUUAAGAGCAGCCACCAAUAAAGAAAGCGUUUAAGCUCAACAACAAAAACUACAAAUACCAACAAACACCAACAACUCCUAAACCACUACUGGACUAAUCUAUUUUAAUAGAAGAAACAAUGUUGAUAUGAGUAACAAGAAUACACUUCUCCACUGCACAAGUUUAUAUCAGACCGAAUAAUUCACUGAUAGUUAACAAUCAAACUAAAUUCACCCAUAAAAUAUCCCAUAGUUAUACCCAUUGUUAGCCCAACACAGGAGUGCAUAACGGAAAGAUUAAAAGAAACAAAAGGAACUCGGCAAA
rnacentral:rRNA from 1 species